rnacentral:lncRNA from 1 species
CCUGCAGUCAGACUUCCUCUCAUUCUUUUCAUCUAAAAUUUUACAGUUCUGCCUUGUGUUGACUGAGGAAGGGAUUUAUCCAGGGCUACUGCAAAGGCAAGGGAAAGUAGGGAGAAGAAUCAAGCUGAUAAGGAGAUUUCUCUGAUAUCUUCAGUCCUGAGAGAUCAGCUGUUGGCUUUUAGCUUGAAGAUGAAUGUAUGACCACCUUGGAAGGAUUCACAAUGGUCAUUUAACUGCUUUCAUGUGAAAUUGGUCAUUGUGCACAGCAAAUGAAUGCC